GGUUGGUUUAAUCUAUGUAUGAAAAAUGCAUGCAUAAAAAGGAAUCCGUGUAACAACUCUUUGAUGGGUCAAAAGGUGGCUUUUUGACUAAGCCAAAUUGAUACCCGUUUUGCAGAAGCCAUUGAGUUACCACCAGACCCAAUUUGAAGAACCUUUAUAUUAAUUUUAUUGUUCUUGUCAUGCAUAUGGAUGAAAUAUUUGUCACUGAACAUUUAAUAUAAAUC
rnacentral:lncRNA from 1 species